GACGAACGCUGGCGGCGCGCCUAACACAUGCAAGUCGAGCGAUGAAACUGUAACAGAACGCUUCGGGGCGAGGAUAGAGUGGAUUAGCGGCGGACGGGUGAGUAACACGUUAUUAACCGGCUUUAAACAUUGGGUUAUCUCCGCGAAACCGGGAUUAAUACCAAAUAAAAUCACAAUGACACAUGUCAUAACUAGCAAAACUCCGAUGGUAUAACAUGGACCCUCGUUGCAUUGGAUGGGUGGGAGAGUAAAAACCUACCAACGCGGCGAUGGGUAGACGGGAAGGGAGACAGAGCGGCCACACUGGAACUGAGAAACGGUCGAGAAUCCUACGGGAGGCAGCAGUGGGGAAUAUUGCACAAUGGAGGGAAGUCUGAUGCAGCUAGGCCGCGUGAACGAUGAAGGCUUUAGAGUAGUAAAGUUCUUUUAUAUGGGAAGAUAAUGACGGUACCGUAAGAAAAAGCCCCGGCUAACUACGUG
rnacentral:rRNA from 1 species